rnacentral:rRNA from 1 species
UACGAAGGGGGCUAGCGUUGCUCGGAAUUACUGGGCGUAAAGCGCGCGUAGGCGGAUCGUUAAGUCGGGGGUGAAAUCCUGGAGCUCAACUCCAGAACUGCCUUCGAUACUGGCGAUCUUGAGUCCGGGAGAGGUGAGUGGAACUCCGAGUGUAGAGGUGAAAUUCGUAGAUAUUCGGAAGAACACCAGUGGCGAAGGCGGCUCACUGGCCCGGUACUGACGCUGAGGUGCGAAAGCGUGGGGAGCAACAGG